rnacentral:rRNA from 1 species
CCAGUUUUGCUUCAAGGACCAAUCAAAAAGAUUCCUGUACUAUAUCAUAACAGAACUGUGGGGACGCAGACAGAGAGCAUAAGCCGGGAAUGGAAAAACCGGUACAAGCGAGGUAGGAGUGCAUCAGGCAAAUCCGGUGUACAAUCUGAAGACGUGAUGUGGGGCGUAAAGCUGGAAGUAUGUGAGCUGGCUGCCAAGAAAAGCCGCUAUUGUUUAUGAUAUACCCGUACCGUAAACCGACACAGGUGGAUGAGGAGAGAAUCCUAAGGCCGACGGGAGAAGCAUUGUUAAGGAACUCGGCAAAAUGACUCCGUAACUUCGGGAGAAGGAGUGCCAUGUAAAAGUGGCCGCAGAGAAUUGGCCCAAGCAACUGUUUAGCAAAAACACAGGUCUAUGCAAAACCGAAAGGUGAGGUAUAUGGGCUGACGCCUGCCCGGUGCUGGAAGGUUAAGGGGAGAGGUUAGCCGUAAGGCGAAGCUUUGAACUUAAGCCCCAGUAAACGGCGGCCGUAACGAUAACGGUCCUAAGGUAGCGAAAUUCCUUGUCGGGUAAGUUCCGACCCGCACGAAAGGCGUAAUGAUUUGGGCACUGUCUCAACAAUGCACCCGGUGAAAUUGAAAUACCAGUGAAGAUGCUGGUUACCUGCGCCGGGACGGAAAGACCCCAUGGAGCUUUACUCUAGCUUGAUACUGGGAUUCGAUAUUGCAUGUACAGGAUAGGUGGGAGACUUUGAACUGAUGACGCCAGUUGUCAGGGAGUCACUGUUGGGAUACCACCCUUGUAGUAUUGGAUUUCUAACCAGCAGCCGUGAACCGGCUGGGGGACAAUGUCAGGUGGGGAGUUUGACUGGGGCGGUCGCCUCCGAAAGGGUAUCGGAGGCGCUCAAAGGUUCCCUCAGAAUGGUCGGAAACCAUUCGAAGAGUGCAAAGGCAGAAGGGAGCUUGACUGCGACACCGACGGGUGGAGCAGGUACGAAAGUAGGACUUAGUGAUCCGGUGGUAUAAAGUGGGAUUGCCAUCGCUCAACGGAUAAAAGCUACCCUGGGAUAACAGGCUUAUCACUCCCAAGAGUUCACAUCGACGGAGUGGUUUGGCACCUCGAUGUCGGCUCAUCGCAUCCUGGGGCUGAAGUAGGUCCCAAGGGUUGGGCUGUUCGCCCAUUAAAGCGGUACGCGAGCUGGGUUCAGAACGUCGUGAGACAGUUCGGUCCCUAUCCGGCGUGGGCGUAGGAUAUUUGAGAGGAGCUGCCCUUAGUACGAGAGGACCGGGGUGGACUGGCCGCUGGUGGAUCUGUUGUAUUACCAAAUGCAUAGCAGAGUAGCCAAGCCGGGACGGGAUAAACGCUGAAGGCAUCUAAGCGUGAAGCCCCCCUCAAGAUGAGAUAUCCCAUAACGUCAAGUUAGUAAGACCCCUUGAAGACGACGAGGUAGAUAGGGCAGAGGUGGAAGUGCGGUAACGCAUGGAGCUGACUGUUACUAAUAGGUCGAGGGCAUAACC